UACGGAGGGGGCAAGCGUUGUUCGGAAUUAUUGGGCGUAAAGCGCGCGUAGGCGGUUAAAUAAGUCAGGCGUGAAAGCCCACGGCUUAACCGUGGAAUGGCGCAUGAAACUGUUUAGCUAGAGUUCAGGAGAGGAGAGUGGAAUUCCCAGUGUAGCGGUGAAAUGCGUAGAUAUUGGGAGGAACACCGGUGGCGAAGGCGACUCUCUGGACUGAUACUGACGCUGAGGCGCGAAAGCGUGGGGAGCAAACGGG
rnacentral:rRNA from 1 species